rnacentral:lncRNA from 1 species
CACACCCUCUGUCCCCCGGCUCAUCAUGCCUGGCUCCCGCACACCCUCCCCACAGCCAUGGUGCUUGCAGUGGUGCCUCUCAUCCUCCUGGCUGCAGGCAGAUGGUUUGCCAUCAGGAAAGGUGCCUGCAGAGGGAGAUGCCCAAGGCAGCAACAAGUUGACAGCCCGCAGACGGAAGAUGCCAGCUAUGGUGACAUCCAGUACUCCACCAUCGCCCAUAUUCGACGGGACAGGCCUCGUCCCAUGCAUCAAAUGAGAAACAUCAUGACAUAUGCCACGGUGACCCACACUCAGACCAAAUAGCGCUGCCACAGGGCAAGGGCACAGGAGCCUUGCCCACAGCUGCCUUUGGCCUCCUGCAGAGGGCUCAUGGAGCCAUAACGUGGGGCUAGGGGGUGCACUUUGGUCUUCUUAGGGGUUUGUUUUCUCAGAGAAGGGCUGUGUGUGUCUAGCCAAGAAGAUGUAGGACUCACACCUCCAUCUACAAGACAUUAAUACUUCUAAAAUAUAUGACCUAUACCAAAUCUUACUGUGACUGUAUUGAUUUUUUCUCAACAAAAGAAAACAUCUCGCUGUGCUCAGUGGAUGAUGUGUAUACCUAAGUUGCAUUAUAAUGCCAUGGGGGUGUUAUUCUACCCACCCACAGAGAUGCCCAUUUUUGACCUACAUGGACAGAUAUCACUGCAGGCA